rnacentral:rRNA from 1 species
GGGAUUAAAUUAAUAUAAUUAGUAUAAUAUAAAAAAAAUAAUUUUAAUGAAUAUAAAAUAUUUAGGGGGGUUUAAGUAUAAUUUCAUGAAAAAAUUUAUUAUUUUAUAGUUAAUUAGUAUUGUAAAUGAAUUUUGAAAUAAAUGUAAUAUUAAUUUUAAAAAAAGUAAUUUUAAUUUAAUAUAUCUUGUGUAUCAGAGUUUAUUAAAUAAUUUUUGUUUAUAUUAUAAAUUUCUCGAAUUUAAAAUAGUUAAAUAAGAUAAUUUAAGUUAUUGUUAUAUAAAUAUUUUUAAUAUUUAUUUUGAAAUGAAAUGUUAAUCGUUUUUAAAUAUAUCUAGUUUUUUUAUAAAAAAAUAUAAUUUUAAAUAUUAUAAAUUAAAUAAUUUUUUUUUUAUAAUUAUUUUAUAUAAUAUUUUAAUAUUUUAAGGGAUAAGCUUUUAAAUAAAUUUUUAUAAUUAUUAAUUUUAUUAUUAAAAUUUUUAAUAUUUAUAUUGUUUAAUAAUUAUAAUUUAUUAUAAAUAAUUUUAAUAUUUAAUAAUUAAUUUAUAUUAUUUAAAUAAAGUAUUUAAUUUUUUAUAAAAAUUUUUUUUUAAUUUUAAAAAUUUAAUUAUAAUGAUAAAAUUAGUAUAAAUUAAUGAAUAAUUUUAAUUAAAAAUUUAUAUUUUAAUUAUAUAUAGGAAUUCGGCAAAUUUUAAUUUAAAUUAAUAAAAUAUUCACUUGUUUAUCAAAAACAUGUCUUUUUGAAAAUAAUUUAAAGUCUAAUCUGCCCACUGAAUAAUUUUAAAGGGCUGCAGUAAUUUGACUGUACAAAGGUAGCAUAAUCAUUAGUCUUUUAAUUGGUGACUUGUAUGAAUGAUUUAAUGAAAUAUAAUCUUUUUUUAUUUAAUAAUUUGAAUUUAAUUUUUUAUUUAAAAAGAUAAAAUUUUUUAAAAAGACGAGAAGACCCUAUAGAGUUUUAUGUUUAUUUUUAAUUAUAUUUAUUUUUUAUUAAAUUAUUAAUUUAAAUAAAAUAUUUUGUUGGGGUGAUAAAAAAAAAUAAAAAACUUUUUUAUAAUAAUUACAUAAAUAAAUGAUAAAUUGAUUCAAAAUUUUUGAUUAUUGGAAUAAAUUACCUUAGGGAUAACAGCGUAAUUUUUUUUUUUAGUUCAAAUAAAAAAAAAAGUUUGCGACCUCGAUGUUGGAUUAAGAUUUAAAUUAAAUGUAGAAGUUUAAAAUUUUGAUCUGUUCGAUCAUUAAAAUCUUACAUGAUCUGAGUUCAAACCGGUGUGAGCCAGGUUGGUUUCUAUCUUUUAUUAAAUAAAUUUUUAUAUUUUAGUACGAAAGGAUUAAAUAUUUAAAAUAAUUUUUUUUUUUGAAUUUUAUUAAGUUUAA